rnacentral:tRNA from 1 species
ACCUGCCUGGCUUAGUUGGCAGAGCGUGAGACUCUUGAUCUUGGGGUUGUGAGUUCGAGCCCCACAUUGGGUG